rnacentral:rRNA from 1 species
UACAGAGGUCCCGAGCGUUGUUCGGAUUUAUUGGGCGUAAAGGGUGCGUAGGCGGCGGAGUAAGUUGGGUGUGAAAUCCCGGGGCUUAACCUCGGAAUUGCAUUCAAUACUGCUUCGCUUGAGUACUGGAGAGGAGGCUGGAAUUUACGGUGUAGCAGUGAAAUGCGUAGAUAUCGUAAGGAAGGCCGGUGGCGAAAGCGGGUCUCUGGGCAACUACUGACGCUGAGGAGCGAAAGCGUGGGGAGCGAACAGG